rnacentral:lncRNA from 1 species
UUUAUUGCUAAUCUUUAGCUAAUGAAUCUUACUAAUUUUCGAAACUUUUGUUCAGUGUCUUUCUCGAAGCAAACAUGAUGCAGAGACCACCUCCCGAAGACUUCUCCUUGAAGGAGACAAGACCCCACCUCGGCGGCGGCAAACUCACCGGCGACAAACUCACCAGCACCUACGACCUCGUCGAGCAAAUGCAGUACCUCUACGUCCGCGUCGUCAAGGCCAAGGAGCUCCCCGGGAAAGACCUUACCGGAAGCUGCGACCCUUACGUCGAAGUCAAGCUCGGUAACUACAAAGGCACCACGCGUCACUUCGAGAAGAAGUCAAACCCGGAGUGGAACCAAGUCUUCGCCUUCUCCAAAGACAGGAUCCAAGCCUCGUUCCUCGAAGCCACGGUUAAAGACAAGGACGUUGUGAAAGACGAUUUGAUCGGUCGCGUUGUCUUUGAUUUGAACGAGGUGCCUAAGAGAGUCCCUCCCGACAGCCCCUUGGCUCCUCAGUGGUAUAGACUCGAAGGCACUAAAGGUGAGAAAGUGAGAGGAGAGCUUAUGCUUGCUGUUUGGUUCGGUACUCAAGCUGAUGAAGCUUUUCCCGAGGCUUGGCACUCGGAUGCAGCCACAGUGAGCGGAACAGACGCUCUCGCUAACAUACGCUCAAAAGUCUAUCUCUCCCCCAAGCUAUGGUACUUGAGAGUUAACGUCAUCGAGGCUCAAGAUCUGAUACCUAGCGAUAAAGGGAGGUACCCUGAGGUCUACGUGAAGGCUAUAGUGGGAAACCAAGCGUUACGGACUAGAGUCUCUCAAAGCAGGACUAUUAACCCCAUGUGGAACGAGGAUCUGAUGUUUGUAGCAGCUGAGCCUUUCGAGGAGCCGUUGAUUUUAAGCGUUGAAGACAGAGUUGCUCCUAACAAGGACGAAGUCUUAGGGAGAUGCGCGAUCCCGUUGCAGCAUUUGGACAGGAGGUUUGACCACAGGCCGGUUAACAGCAGGUGGUUUAACUUGGAGAAGCAUAUCAUGGUGGACGGUGAGAAGAAGGAGAUCAAGUUCGCGAGCAGGAUACACAUGAGGAUAUGUUUGGAAGGAGGGUACCAUGUUCUUGAUGAGUCUACGCAUUACAGUAGCGACCUUAGACCGACGGCUAAGCAGCUCUGGAAGCCGAGCAUCGGCGUGUUGGAGGUCGGGAUACUUAAUGCCACCGGCUUGAUGCCUAUGAAGAAUAAAGAUGGACGAGGGACGACGGAUGCGUACUGUGUGGCGAAGUAUGGUCAGAAGUGGAUUCGAACGAGGACUAUUAUAGACAGCUUUACUCCGAGGUGGAACGAGCAGUACACGUGGGAGGUUUUUGAUCCGUGUACUGUCGUCACCGUUGGGGUUUUUGAUAACUGUCAUCUCCAUGGAGGUGGUGAGAAGAACGGUGGAGGAGGAGGAGGAGGGAAAGAUUCAAGAAUCGGGAAGGUGAGGAUCAGGCUCUCUACUUUAGAGACGGAUCGUGUCUACACGCACUCGUAUCCUCUUCUUGUGCUGCAUCCCAACGGAGUCAAGAAGAUGGGAGAGAUUCAUUUAGCUGUGAGGUUCACUUGCUCCUCGUUACUCAACAUGAUGUAUAUGUACUCGGUGCCUCUCUUGCCUAAGAUGCAUUACAUUCAUCCUCUGACGGUUAGCCAGCUUGAUAACCUGAGGCACCAAGCGACUCAGAUUGUGUCGAUGAGGCUGACAAGAGCGGAGCCGCCGCUGAGGAAGGAAGUGGUUGAGUACAUGCUUGAUGUUGGCUCCCACAUGUGGAGUAUGAGGAGAAGCAAAGCGAAUUUUUUCAGGAUCAUGGGUGUUUUGAGCGGGUUGAUAGCUGUUGGGAAGUGGUUUGAGCAGAUAUGUAACUGGAAGAAUCCGAUCACAACGGUGUUGAUCCAUCUCUUGUUCAUCAUCCUUGUUGUCUACCCUGAGCUGAUCUUGCCGACUAUCUUUCUUUACCUUUUUCUUAUCGGUGUAUGGUACUACCGUUGGAGACCGAGGCAUCCUCCGCACAUGGACACGCGUCUCUCACACGCUGACUCAGCUCACCCGGACGAGCUUGACGAGGAGUUUGACACAAACUAUGUAAAUUAUAACAACUAGCUACUAUCUAUGCACAACCCUUGUUUCAUAAGGUAAUAACAUAGAGCGGACAAAUGGGAACAGACAUGAUAUAGAGAUGUAUUAUUGUCCAUAUACCAAUUUUGGAUUCAUAUGUACAGUAGCUUGGUUUUGUAAACUACUUAGAAAAAGAGAGUCGUAUAUUUAUAACAACAACAACUCCGAAAGUGUUUGAUGAAUUUCCAUUUUCCAGCUAUACCCAAUCACGUAAAAUACCUAACUAGAAGGAUUCGCUUACGUGUUUAGAACCUAUAGUCCCAUCUUUAGGUUUGGUGUCAAUUGACUAGAGAGACAUAUCAUUUACACCAUUUAUUAUUUAUCACCAACAACUGAUCAAGAUCCAUAACUAUCAUAAUGGAGUACUAGAAAUUAGUCCGAAUGUUUUUAUAGUUUAGACUAAACUAAUGCAACUUGAAUUACACCGGUUUUUUCUUCUUUUUCGUGUUUUCACCUAAAGGCAUGAUGAUAACUAAUGCCGACCAUAAAGAAUAAUCAUUUAUAAAAAUCAAGCACAUGUAACGCAUAUAUGUGGAAAUUAUGAUUUCAGACAUUUAAGGUAAAAUUCGAGGAAAAACAUUUGAUUGCGACUGUUUUUCUUUACGACUGUAAUGUUGUAACCUUUUUUGUUGUUUGGUGAAGAAGUAACGAUGCAACUUAUAAUACAUUAUCCCCUUUCCAAGCAUAAUAUAAAUCUAUAUAUACUUUCUAAAGGCUUACUCUGUAGCCAGAAUACGUUUUCAGCAAAACAGAAUUACUUUUUGAUAAUUAAGAAGAGUUCAAACCGGGCUUUAAGCAUUUCUUUAGAUCUAAGACUAGCCGUUGCUAGCAUCUCGUGACAUUGGCAUAAAACAUUCUAAUCUUUUCAUCGAAAUCAAACUAAACGCACAACAGAGCUAACUUCUAUUGCUGUUGGUAAAACAUAAACUUUUACUGAAUGAAUAUGGAGAUGAAUGUAUGAUUAAACGCCAUAGGAACCGUAAAUGGAACUUUUAUCUAGCAAACGACAAAAGUAAGAGUCAGGGCCAGCCAAAGCAAAAGUACGAAUUUGUAUUGCUUAUUGUAUAGAAUGCAGAAACAUGGAGGAAUCCAAUGACUUGUGCUUCAUCUUCUACUAUUUUUUUUUGUAAAUUUUCUCAGUCUUUUUUUUUAUCACAAUUUAAUCAAAAUAAAUUUGCAUCAUACAACCAAUUACACACUCAAAAUGUACACACUAAAAACAAUAGUAUUUCCGUUAAGAAAAACAAUUCAACGAGGAUUAUUUAAGUUUAAGUUUUUCCAAUAAAGUAUUUUAUUACGGAGAACCGUUGUCUUCACACGUGUGGGAUUCAAAACGAAGAGGGUAUGUCUUGCGUGAUUUUCCAUGGACCCCACCCGUAUAUUUUUGUAGCACAACAGUGCCAUGUGUGCGUCUCUCUACUGUUUUUUUUUCUUUCUUUUUUGUAUAGUCAUCAGAUCAUAACCGAGUAUAAAAAAGGUAGAAACUGUAGAAAAAGCAAAGGAAAGAAGAAGACAACAGAAUACAACAAGAAGAGACCAAUACAAUAAAAAUAUCUCUCUCUCUCGGACUCUCCUUCCUCUUCAAUGUUAUUUCUUUCUCUCUCUAGAAAUUUCCCUUUCCCAGUAGUGCAUACCCUCUCUGCUUUUACUAGUCUUAUCUUCGUUUGUCCCUUUUAUUUAUUAGACUUUGAUUAAAACGAGGACGAACCAACAAGAGAGAAGACAUAACUCUCCUUACUCAUCAAGGACGGAGAUUUUCUCGCUCUUCUUCUCAUCCAUGAACUGCUUCUGAGUGUUGCUUUUUUUGAAGAUCUAAGGUGUUUAUUCUCAGAUCUAAACUUUUAUUACUAUUAUCUUCCCAUAACUGCUUUUACUGAUCUUUUUCUAUGGAUUUUGAGCAUUUUUUAUUUGUCGUUUUCUGUUUUUGGUAAAUAAAAAUUUUGAAGAAAAAAAGUUUAAACUCUCAAUGAAGUGAACUGGAAGAUGUUUUUUUUAAAAUAAAUGUUGGGUUGAUUCAUGAUUUUGUGCCGUUAGAUUCUGCUUCGGAGAUGCUAACGAGGUUGUGUUAUGAUCUAGAAAAUGCGAGAUGCUAUAUUCGAGUAUCUUUUUGUAAUAUUCAUUUAUUUAUCAUUUUCUUACUUUUUUAAUUCUCUUACAAUGGUGGUUUUGUGUUUCAGAUCUAGUGUUUUGAAGUGGAGCAAUAGUCUCUGUAAGUAUCAAUCUUUAUUGCUAAUCUUUAGCUAAUGAAUCUUACUAAUUUUCGAAACUUUUGUUCAGUGUCUUUCUCGAAGCAAACAUGAUGCAGAGACCACCUCCCGAAGACUUCUCCUUGAAGGAGACAAGACCCCACCUCGGCGGCGGCAAACUCACCGGCGACAAACUCACCAGCACCUACGACCUCGUCGAGCAAAUGCAGUACCUCUACGUCCGCGUCGUCAAGGCCAAGGAGCUCCCCGGGAAAGACCUUACCGGAAGCUGCGACCCUUACGUCGAAGUCAAGCUCGGUAACUACAAAGGCACCACGCGUCACUUCGAGAAGAAGUCAAACCCGGAGUGGAACCAAGUCUUCGCCUUCUCCAAAGACAGGAUCCAAGCCUCGUUCCUCGAAGCCACG